AGUGAACGCUGGCGGUAGGCCUAACACAUGCAAGUCGAACGGCAGCACAGUAAGAGCUUGCUCUUACGGGUGGCGAGUGGCGGACGGGUGAGGAAUACAUCGUAAUCUACUUUUUCGUGGGGGAUAACGUAGGGAAACUUACGCUAAUACCGCAUACGACCUACGGGUGAAGGCAGUGGAUCUUCGGACCUUUUGCGAUUGAAUGAGCCGAUGUCGGAUUAGCUAGUUGGCGGGGGAAAGGCCCACCAAGGCGGCGAUCCGUAGCUGGUCUGAGAGGAUGGUCGGCCACACUGGAACUGGGACAGGGUCAAUGGUCCUAAGGGAGGCAGCAGUGGGGAAUAGUGGACAAUGGGGGCAAGCCUGAUCCAGCCGUACCGCGUGGGUGAAGAAGGCCUUCGGGUUGGAAAGCCGUUUUGUUGGGAAAGAAAAGCAGCAGGUUAAUACCCCGCGGUUCUGACGGUACCCAAAGAAUAAGCACCGGCUAACUUCGUG
rnacentral:rRNA from 1 species